rnacentral:rRNA from 1 species
GACGAACCGUGCAAACGUUGUUCGGAAUCACUGGGCUUAAAGGGCGCGUAGGCGGGCCUCCAAGUCCGGGGUGAAAGCCUCCAGCCUAACUGGAGAAGCGCCUCGGAGACUGGGGGCCUCGAGGGAGGUAGGGGCAAGCGGAACUAUGGGUGGAGCGGUGAAAUGCAUUGAUAUCCAUAGGAACUCCGGUGGCGAAGGCGGCUUGCUGGACCUCUUCUGACGCUGAGGCGCGAAAGCGUGGGGAGCGAACAGG